GUAAGGAAUAUUGGUCAAUGGACGAAAGUCUGAACCAGCCAUGCCGCGUGAAGGAUGAAGGCCCUCUGGGUUGUAAACUUCUUUUAUCUGGGACGAAAAAAGGGUAUUCUUACUCACUUGACGGUACCAGAGGAAUAAGCACCGGCUAACUCCGUGCCAGCAGCCGCGGUAAUACGGAGGGUGCAAGCGUUAUCCGGAUUCACUGGGUUUAAAGGGUGCGUAGGUGGGUAUUUAAGUCAGUGGUGAAAUCUCCGAGCUUAACUCGGAAACUGCCAUUGAUACUAUUUACCUGGAAUGCCCUGGAGGUAAGCGGAAUAUGUCAUGUAGCGGUGAAAUGCUUAGAUAUGACAUAGAACACCAAUUGCGAAGGCAGCUUACUACGGGGUGAUUGACACUGAGGCACGAAAGCGUGGGGAGCAAACAGGAUUAGAUACCCGUGUAGUCC
rnacentral:rRNA from 1 species